UACGUAGGGUGCAAGCGUUAAUCGGAAUUACUGGGCGUAAAGCGUGCGCAGGCGGUGAUGUAAGACAGGUGUGAAAUCCCCGGGCUCAACCUGGGAAUGGCGAUGGAAACUGGGCAGCUAGAGUGUGUCAGAGGAUGGUGGAAUUCCCGGUGUAGCGGUGAAAUGCGUAGAGAUCGGGAGGAACACCAGUGGCGAAGGCGACUACCUGGCCCACUCUUGACGCUGAGGCGCGAAAGCUAGGGGAGCAAACGGG
rnacentral:rRNA from 1 species